UUGGUUUCUAUGAGCUCCUAAUGGCCGCUCGUCUUCAUCCACUAACAUGGAGAAUAUGGCUCCUUCUCUUUGUGUCAGCGCACAGCCAUUGCACUGCAUGCAAUAGAGGGCAGAGCGACCGCGGGCGACUACUUCAUUUCAAGACCCGAUUGCAACCCUUUGCAAACGUCGGAAAAAUACCCCCGCGGUGGCAUUCGAUUCACGAAAGAUUGAACUUUAUUUUGCCGUGGUUACAUUUAAUAGUUGUCGGUUUAUUUCUCGAGAAAACCCGGGUAGAAAAAGUUGAAGCGAACUGCGGCUCUAUCCCUGGCUUCCCAUUUGCCUCGCUGCCUUGUUUCCUAUGCGAAUACAGUCAGCCAUUACAGUAAAGCGCAGAUCGCGAGGUAAUUUUUUUAUUUUUUUUCCACUAUCUUAGCAGGUGAAGUUUUGCAAACAAAUAAUCAUCCGAACAUAUUUUGAGAUGGCAUCAAUUUUUCUUGAUCUUUCGUGAUUUUUUAUGGCUUUAAUUCUGACCUGAACUCUUCUCGGUCUUCACAUGACAGGCGUUCAGCUUCGCAAUACACUGCAAUGGCUAGCUAACGCAGCAUCAGAGCCAGGGACUGAAGUACUCCUUCCUAAUAAAGACAGGUCUAUUGGAGACUGAAGAUUAAGGUUGCGGGGUAGCUGUUGUCUGACCAGUCACUGGGCGGGAGGCAGGGUACAGCCUGGACAGAUCGGCAGUCCAUCACAGAAAUUGUAAUAUUUAGAGUGCAAUUGAUCUUUUAAAUAGAUGUAAUGCAUUUUUGUGACGAUAUGACUAUGAUCUGCCAGAUUAUUUAAUCAUUUGUUUAAGGUUUUGCAGUUUUGCAUUAUGUGGCGCCUUUGCAGUUUUGGUCGUUUUAUGCCUGACCUUUUCAGGUAGGAAUGGGUGCCGUCUACCACUGUAGAUUUAAUACAGACCAUGUGUCAACUCAUAUGCGUCAGGGAGCUUUGACAGCUGAUGAUGUAAAGUAUGUUUCUAUAUACCACUCGUAGUCUACUAUGAGGGAUUGCUGUUAUAACACUCCAGUGAAUAAUAUCCAUGACCAGGAGGUCGCUUAUAGUUAUUUUAGUUUAAACUGUGGUCCUAAGCCCAAAUGGGGAUCACAACCAAAAUAAAGAUAAAUAGAGCUUUCAGGUAAUAACAUACAGUUCAAUGUAAUUGAACGUGAGAUUUUGAGCAAUUUUUGUGAUUCAUGAAGAUACUUCAACAAAAUAAACUGAAGUGCCAUGGUUUAAGUACAUGGGUAUGAACCGUUUUUUUUUUUUUUUGGAAUAAGAUGGAAGUAGGAAGCGGUUCUAAAUAGGGAUAUAAAUUGGCAAAGGAAUGAAUGACCAGAAGUCACUGUAACACAUUCAUGUUUCUGCUUUCUGUGUAUAAAUAUUUAUAACAACAUUAAAGACAAAUAUAUUUUAGAUGUGUAUGUUGGUUUUUGCUCUUUAAAGUUGAAAUCUAAAACAAAUGUGGAUUUGUUUUUAAAUAAAGCCCUGACAUUAGCCUAACUUUUGACAGAUAAAUAAUUAGGGUCCACUGCAUUGCUUUUGUGCUGCUUAACCUUCCUUAGUAAUAUGAUUUCAAGGCUUGUCUGCCCCUUUAAACAAGGGAGAAAGUCAGUCAUGAUUUCUUAAAUAUAAUCAUAUGUUAUUUUUGUAAGUACUGCUUAAAACUACCCCAUAUGUUAUUAUACAUUGUAACAAACAAACCUAAAUACAUUUUAUUCUUCCUAACAGCUUAUAUAGAAACAAAGAAAAAUGGCUGACAAAGACUUUUUCCAUAUCCUUGAGUUAAGAAUGAGAAGGAUGAACUGAUUCCAAAUGCCAAUCACAACCCAGACUCAGGCCACAUGUCUUCCUGCGAUGCAGCCUGUCUGUGCCUCCCUUUGCAUCAGGAGAUACCAUGGCAGAAAGCUAUAGCAGGUUCAUGUUUAUGCAUUCUAACGAGCACUCCCUGGGAAAAAUAUGCAAAUUCAUUUUGUCAUCAAGAGGAAAAUAGAGGACAGGAAAACUGCAGAUACAGGAGGGGCUAAAGGGAGGAGGGUGAGCACAAGAGGCGGGAUUGGGUUAAGGGAGGUGUUUGUGUAUGAGUUUGCAUGUCUGUGAGUGUGUUGUAAAUGUGUGAUGGGGCCACAAUGGAAGUAGACGCACCGUGAGCGACAUAUGUAGGCCCCAUCCCACCCCCAACCAAUCACCGUUCCUAAAGCAGAUUCCAUAUAAAUAAAACCAAGAAAAUAUAAAAUAUUAUGCAAUGAAUAUACACUGUUAUUUACAAAGCCAGAAACAUAUACAGUGGAAAUGGGGAGAAUUUACAUAUCGUAUUUUUUAUUUAAUUUACCAAAAGUGACAAGCAUUUGAACAGUUGAGCUUCUUUUCAGUCCACUGGUUCUGAUCGACUAUGACAAAAUGUAAUUAAGUAUACAGUAUUUGUUUUACUUUCAGGCAAACAUGUAAGAAAUUAUUAAUAUUAUCAUUAUUUUUGAUUAUCAGUCUAUCUUUUAACUUUCCAUUCAGA